UAGGGAAUCUUCCACAAUGGACGCAAGUCUGAUGGAGCAACGGCCGCGUGAGUGAAGAAGGUUUUCGGACCGUAAAGCUCUGUUGUUGGUGAAGAAGGAUAGAGGUAGUAACUGGCCUUUAUUUGACGGUAAUCAACCAGAAAGUCACGGCUAACUACGUGCCAGCAGCCGCGGUAAUCGUAGGUGGCAAGCGUUGUCCGGAUUUAUUGGGCGUAAAGCGAGCGCAGGCGGAAGAAUAAGUCUGAUGUGAAAGCCCUCGGCUUAACCGAGGAAUUGCAUCGGAAACUGUUUUCUUGAGUGCAGAAGAGGAGAGUAGAACUCCAUGUGUAGCGGCGGAAUGCGUAGAUAUAUGGAAGAAUACCAGUGGCGAAGGCGGCUCUCUGGUCUGCAACUGACGCUGAGGCUCGAAAGCAUGGGUAGCGAACAGGAUUAGAUACCCUGGUAGUCCAUGCCGUAAACGAUGAGUGCUAAGUGUUGGGAGGCUUCCGCCUCUCAGUGCUGCAGCUAACGCAUUAAGCACUCCGCCUGGGGGAGUACGACCGCAAGGUUGAAACUCUAA
rnacentral:rRNA from 1 species